CAGGCGCUGAAGCCUCACAUGUAAACACCUGGGCCAACAUGUGCAGAAGUGACCUUAUGAUCAUGUUUAUGACGUUAGUGCCUAGCGACCAGCCAAGAUCAGAGCCCUGUUGUGCCAGGCGCUGUAAAACCAAAAAGUAGGAGACAGUCCCUGCCCUGACAAGUUUACAGUCUAAAUAGAUGGGAUAGAUGAAGGGCGGGGAAAGGGUUAGAGCUCACGGCCGCGUGAACAAAGCAAUGAUGGCAAAUACCUGAGCGCCAUGGGGGUGGGGAGGUGAGUGAGGAGGGGAGUAGCUCAACGGGAAGACGGGACUGGAGUGGGUGAGGGGCUCAGGGCAGAAGAGGUGUGAGAGGACGGUAUCGGGGUCAGGUGUGGCAUGAGGCUGAGGGGAUGCGAUAAAGGCCUAAAGGGCAUUGCAGCAAACAGCCAAUCAGUCCAGGGGAGAGGAAGUCCAGUCAAAACUGCGGAAGGUAUGAUCAGGGUCUGUCAGUUCCUGCCUAAGCUGCUUCUGCCGCUGCUCUGCAGAUUCAGGGCUCGUCUGCACUCACAGAGCUGGCCCGGCACAGCUGCGCCACUGUAGCACUGCGUGAAGACACUACCUAUGCCAACGGGAGGGCUUCUCUUGUCAGCGUAGGGACUCCACCUCCCCCAGAGACGGUAGGUCCGUUGGCAGGAGACGCUCUCCCCGUCCCAUGGGCGUAGCACUGUCUGUACUGGGGGUUAGGUCAGUAGUUAUACCCACAUAAGUAGGGGGUGUAGACCAGGGCUCAGUCUCUGGCUAGCUCCUCCCCACAGUUCCUAACGACUAACGUAAUCACGUUGUUAAUGCCUCGCUUUCAAAGGGCGCAGCUCAAAGCAGCUAAGUCAUUUUUGUCAUAGACAUUCCCAAAUGGAAACAUCCCAGCAUGGUGUUCUGCACGCUCAGAGAGCCAGAGCUCACCUAACCCAUGCACUUUGUGUGGAGUCUCCCCGUGAGCGUAUUGUACCCGGGUUCAGGAAAAAAGUGAGACCCGAGAAAGCCAAUUUCCAAAACCAUCUGGUUUUGUUUCCAAAAUAUUUGUAAGUGCCUGACUCCCGCACAGCUCCCCACAGUGCAGGAAAUGCAAAGCCCUCCUACACUCUAGUUUGGAUCGUCUGGUGUUUUUACUGAAGCUAAAUAUUUAGCAGAUGUUUUUCUUCCUCAUUAAACACAAGUCUCUGACGCCACCUUAACUAUGGCUUUGCGACCACUCCACUCUCAGCGAAACUAGACACAGCACAGAUCAAUGAUUUAGGUCUGGAAAGAUGCCUGGUGAGCACAACAAGCUUAGAAGGGGUCAGCCAAGGAACUGGGAGAUGUGAAAGGAGAGGAGUUGUCCAAGAGAUGGUGAGAGAUUCAGACUGAGUCAAGCCCAGAGGGCUGUGAGGACCUGAGCUGGGUGCAUGGGCAGCACCAUGGAAGAUGCAGUUCAGUGCUGAUCCAUGAAAAGGAAUGCACGUUGGAAGGGAAAGUUUGAACUAUUCGUACACCUUCCUGGGCUCUAAAUUAACUGCAGCUGCUCAGCGAAGAGAUCUGGCAUUACUGGCAGCAGCUCAAUGACGACUCUUCAUAGCAUGUAACCAUGAUCCUAAAAGCCAACACAAUGGGAUGGAGACUAACAUGGAGAAUGUUCUAAGGUUAUAGGCAUUGAUGUUGCAGGCUCUUCUGUUAUAUGAUGUUCAGAUUUGGUUGCUUGGUCUCGAAGAGGAGACACAGAACUAGAGGUGGUUCAGACAUGGGCCCCGAGAAUGAUUAGGGGCAUGGAAAUAAAGCUUGAUCAGACCUGAAAUGUUUAGUGAGGAGAAGAUAUGCCACUCACAACCAGCCUGCAGGUCAUACCCUGAGUAUCUGUGUGCUAGACAGCUCUGGUUCAGCAACUCUGAUCCCAGCAGCCUGUCUACAGCCCCACUCUGGCUUCCACCUGUCUUCGUUACUAUUUGGUGACCCCAACAUAUUCCCAGUUCCAGAUUUUCCCCUCGACGUGCGUUCUGCCCUAGCCAGCCCUCUCCUGGAUAGGUCAGCUAGUAAGGUUCAUUGCCCCUGUAGGGUGUCAAUAUUCAACAAUUGGUUACUUGAAACUGAACUGUUUGGUAACUCCAGUUAUGCACAGCACUGGAUUAGUUUUUGAUUAAAAAUGAAACACAUUUAUUAACACAAGAUGAUAGGAUUGUAAGUGAAUUCAAGUAUAAGAGGUGAAGUUAGAAAGGGUUACAAGGGUAAGCAGAGUCUGAAUGAGCUCUCCCCAGACAUCUAGCGGUGAGCUGUGGAAAAGGACUUCAGGAGCUGAUCUCGUUUGCAUGGGGCGCUCAGCAUGAUGGGAUUGCUUGCCCAAAUGGUCACUUUUUGGCUGGUGUGAGAUCCCCAGUCUCCUUGCUGUUGGGGCAGGUGUAAUAUAGGGUUGUUAUCUUUGUUAUGGGAACCAAGGGCAGAAGAAUUAUACUUGGUGUUUCCCGAUUGAGGGACUCACCCUCAUCUAAAUGGCAGUUGCUAGGCAGGGGACAUGGGUUCUGAAGCCCAGUGAGUUGAGAGAGGGUAGGAGCUUGUACCUGGCUCUUGUGGCUGCUAACUCUGAGUGUCAGAAUGGUUACACAAGUAAAUAAAAGUGAUGGCCUUUCCCCGCCCCCCAGUCUUCCAACAAGAUGGUGACUGACCCUCUUCUCAGCCAGGAUCUCUCCCAGAGGCCCAAAGGUAUCGUCCUGGGUGAAAGAGUUGACUUGCGAUUCUCUGCUCCCUUUAUUUUUAUAGUUCAGUGAAACUUUGAAGUGGAUUCUUCUGAGGGUAACCUUCAAAGCCAAGUUUAUUCAAGCAGUGAGGAAGGCACAUGGAGUCUUGGGGUGAAGGAGGCCCUGUGCUCGGUGCACACAUGUUUCUAUGUUUGGGAUAGGCCUGUUUAAUAACUUUUGCCUAGGCAGGGCUGGGUGGGUUUUGAACAUGUGCUAAUAUCAUACAGGGGAAAUUCAUAACUUUACGCAUACUGUUGCUACGUACAUAUCACCACGAUGUCAUUGACCAGGGAAUUAUUCGUUUUCAGAUGCUCUCUCACAAGGCAUAUUUUGUACAAAGAUGAUUACACUAGCGUGCAGGGUGUGAAGAUGGGGGAGCUUUGGGUCACACCCUCAGUUCUUGCUGUCCCAGGACUACAUUAGACUCUGUAAUUUUCGCUUUUUUCAAACCUGGAUUCUCCUGCCCUAACCCCCAUGUCCUCGCUGCAGUGAUAACUCCCUGGGUCUCGAGACAGCUUGAAACAACCAUUCGGAGGGGACUGAUAUGCCUCAUGCUCUUCAGCAGGGUGUUAACGCCAAGGCCUAUCACUCUGGAUGUGCUACUCAAGCAGGCACACCCCAGUUGUUGGAGAAAAACUCUGCCAUCUCUUCACCAAGUAUAAAAACGCGCUUUAAUGCACGUCCCCUAGAAAGCCAUCGGACUUGAGUGUUGAAAAGCAGAACUUCAUAUUCACCACUCAUUUCAUUGCAGAGCUCUCAAAAGAGACGACUAUUCAGAGCAUCAGCUUUAACGUAGUUCACUGCUCAUAGAACAUCUACCACAGCGUUAAGGCAUAUCAGCAAUGUCUUUGACAAUAAUCAAGUUGCAGGCUGAACAUGCUAAAAGCAGAAUGUUUAAUUUCGUGCACAAUUUGUUUUUUGGUAUCUUCAUAUCUCAUGUAUUCUGCCUUUCACAGUGUCAUUAGGCAGGGAGAGCAUAUUCCGUUUUUUUGGCAGUAUCAUUGCCAACCAUGAGUGCCACAAUCUCCUUGCCUGCUGGCAGAAUAAGCUCCUCACCUCCUGCACGCGGCGCUUUGGUAUGGGCAGCUCAUCGUGACACAACGUAAGAGGUCUCCACAGCUGAGGACGUUGCUGUUGGAAACUUCCAACAGCAUCAGGCCCGGCCAUCUUUGUUGCUGCUUCUCUGCGUUUAAAAAAAUCCACGUUUCGAUUUUUAUGCUUGGGAUGUCUGGUUUCAAGAUGUCGCUCCCUGGUGUCAUUGAGUCUUCACAGCAAAUGACGCAUGGCGGUUUUUCAGUCCCAGAGCUGAUGACACUGGGAAAACCCAGUUUAAUGGAAGACUCGAGAUACUUUCAUUUUUUAGCAGUUUCAGCAGCACAAGUGGCCAUUAUUUUCAGGAGAAAGUUUGCACUUGUGUGACUGACUGUUAAUUAAUUAAGUACUUGUUCGGCU